AGCUCCAAGAGCGUAUAUUAAAGUUGUUGCAGUUAAAAAGCUCGUAGUUGGAUUUCUGCUGAGGACGACCGGUCCGCCCUCUGGGUGAGUAUCUGGCUUGGCCUUGGCAUCUUCUUGGAGAACGUAGCUGCACCUGACUGUGUGGUGCGGUAUCCAGGACUUUUACUUUGAGGAAAUUAGAGUGUUUCAAGCAAGCACACGCCUUGAAUACAUUAGCAUGGAAUAAUAAGAUAGGACCUUGGUUCUAUUUUGCUGGUUUCUAGAGCUGAGGUAAUGAUUAAUAGGGAUAGUUGGGGGCAUUCGUAUUUAACUGUCAAAGGUGAAAUUCUUGGAUUUGUUAAAGACGGACUACUGCGAAAGCAUUUGCCAAGGAUGUUUUCAUUG
rnacentral:rRNA from 1 species